CAUUUAAUUUACAUAACAUAAAUGAAAUAAAAUAUUUGAAAAUUCAAGUCUAACGAGCUACAUUUAAUAAAACUCAAUGAAAACCUCAUGGAUCUGUGCUUUUUCAUGCUUGAAUGAAUAGUAAUAAAGCUGCGCCCGCCUACAGUUUUCUGAACAAACAGAAUUAUUCGAACCUGCUACAUAUUCAGAACUGAAGGCUACGGGUCUCAUACUGUCUAACCUAUUUGUGAUGAUGGGAGCGCCUCUACAAUGGCGAGAUUCUUACUGUUAAAAUCGUUUUUGACGACUUAAAAGCCUCUCGAGUUAGGGCUUCCGAUGAUACCAAUUGUGAUGAUGUCAUUUUUAAGGUGACUGGCCUCUACAGUUUAUUUCAACUGUAUUGAUUUAAGCCCUUAAAAAUAAUUAGCCUCAGACUGCACAUUACCGAUUGAUCUCAAAACCUAUGGGGUUAUUUAGAGGCAUCUAGGAUCGGGAAUGCGAGAAUAUCCAUUACCAAUUAUGAUGAUAAACGAACCUCUAGGCUUAGAAACCUCAGAUUUUCUAUUCCCGAUUAUGAUGAUUUGCGGAACUCUUAGCUUUAAAGCCUUAGACUUUCCGAAAUGAAUUUAUGUUGAUUUCCAGAUUUGUAAUAUGAUGUUAUUCUAAAUGUGUUAUCCUCAACCCCUGUAAGGUCGAUAGUCACGAAAUAUCCAUUAUAAAAUAUGAUGAUUAAAGGACCUAUAGAGUCUAGAAUCUGUGCGUGUCCAUUACCGAUUAUGACGGUUUAAAGGCCUGUGACGUCAGGAAUUUCAGACUGUCUAUUAUUAAUUUUUGAUGUGAUGACCAUAACGGGAUGAGGAUGAGAAUUUCCGUCUGUUGAGAACAGAUCCUGAUGACUUACAUGUCUUUGAGGUCGAGAACCUCAAAGUGUGCACACCAAAUGUGAUGAUUUAAAGGCCGUUUAGGUCAAUAGAGUCCGACUAUUCAUUAUAGAUUACGAUGAUUAAAAGGCUUCUUGAUUCAUACCUCAAACUGCCUAUUACCGAUUUGUGAUGAUCGGUAACACUCCAGAGACCUUUUUCUUUAGGAUCGAGAACUUGAGACACUACCAAAUAUGACAUAAAGGUCUCUAGGCUUCAUUUCAUUCAAAAAUAGAAUAAAGAAAACAUCCAGAAUGUAUAUUUUGUGUAUCAACAUGAUGUCGUGUUUUGCUUUCAUAUCCAUAUCAAGACUGGUAUUCAAGACUGGUAUUGAUUAGGAACUUAACCACCAACAUAACUCGUCAGAUUUUGCAUGGACUGCAUGGAAUCUUAAUUAAAAUGUUAUUUCUCCUUUAAAAACCUGGCUGUAUUCUAAUUGCUUGAAUCUAAAAUCUUAAACCAGUACUUGUUUCAUUGAGGAAAUAACAUGGGAAAAUGUGUAUAUUUGGCUAUGUUUAUGAGUUAUGAAUGAAAGCGUAAGAUGCCGCGUAUGAAUGACGAAAACGAUUGCUUUCACUGACUUCAUUAAUUGAUUAAUCGAUUGAUCAUGUUAUGAUAUGCAGCAUUGCAGCAUUGCAGCAUCCAAAAUUACCUACAUGGAUGCAUUAAUGGACAGGCAUCAUUUGAUAAGCUACUAAAACGGGAUUUAUAUUAACUCGCAAGAGACUCGCAUAAUUAUUAUUUCAGAAUAUUGAAAAACAAAUUGACUAUUUUAAAUUCGCAUUGACUGUUAGAACCAGAUCCAGAUCUAUUUUGAUGAAGUGUAUUGCAUAUAUUUAAUGCAAUUAGUUCUAAGAUAUUUAGUUGUAAGAUAUUUAGUUGUAAGAUUGAAAGUUAAAACCAGAUUCAGAUCCAUUUUGAUGAUGUAUAUUGCAUAUCUUUAAUGCAAUUAGUUGUAAGAUAUUUAGUUUUAAGAUGAAAUAUAUUUAUA